rnacentral:rRNA from 1 species
GAUGAACGCUGGCGGCGUGCCUAAUACAUGCAAGUCGAGCGAACAGAUAAGGAGCUUGCUCCUUUGACGUUAGCGGCGGACGGGUGAGUAACACGUGGGUAACCUACCUAUAAGACUGGAAUAACUCCGGGAAACCGGGGCUAAUGCCGGAUAACAUUUAGAACCGCAUGGUUCUAAAGUGAAAGAUGGUUUUGCUAUCACUUAUAGAUGGACCCGCGCCGUAUUAGCUAGUUGGUAAGGUAACGGCUUACCAAGGCAACGAUACGUAGCCGACCUGAGAGGGUGAUCGGCCACACUGGAACUGAGACACGGUCCAGACUCCUACGGGAGGCAGCAGUAGGGAAUCUUCCGCAAUGGGCGAAAGCCUGACGGAGCAACGCCGCGUGAGUGAUGAAGGUCUUCGGAUCGUAAAACUCUGUUAUUAGGAAAGAACAAAUGUGUAAGUAACUGUGCACGUCUUGACGGUACCUAAUCAGAAAGCCACGGCUAACUACGUG